CGGGGCGGGUUUCCAGGCGGCGCGGGUGCGGACGGGGAGCGUGGCCAGGGGUACACUGGUGAGGAGAUGGCCCAGGACAUCUGGGUCAAGCCUGAGGACCGAGGCUGCAGCCCCCUCUGCUCGGAAAAGGGAAUGAGAAGGGAUCUGCUGCCCUCCUGACACACAACCUGAAGGUGCUGGCCAAAUGCCCCACCCUGAGUUUUGAAAAAGGAAAUUAAAAAAAAAAA